CAGCUGACAUGGCAGCACCCGGAGGCUCUGCCUGGGCCGAUAUCCAAGUAUGUUGUGGAGGUGCAGGUGGCUGGGGGUGCAGGAGACCCACUGUGGAUAGACGUGGACAGGCCUGAGGAGACGAGCACCAUCAUCCGUGGCCUCAAUGCCAGCACGCGCUACCUCUUCCGCGUGCGGGCCAGCGUUCAGGGGCUCGGGGACUGGAGCAACACAGUAGAAGAGUCCACCCUGGGCAACGGGCUGCAGGCUGAGGGCCCAGUCCAAGAGAGCCGGGCAGCUGAAGAGGGCCUGGAUCAGCAGCUGAUCCUGGCGGUGGUGGGCUCCGUGUCUGCCACCUGCCUCACCAUCCUGGCCGCCCUUUUAACCCUGGUGUGCAUCCGCAGAAGCUGCCUGCAUCGGAGACGCACCUUCACCUACCAGUCAGGCUCGGCCUUCCUGGGCUUGGGAGCCAGCCUCUGUCUGCACACAUCUUUGGCUGAUAUCCUUAGCCCUGCUGUGGCCACCUGCCAGUAGGCCAGUCAUGCUGUCCUGUCUCCUCUGAGGGCUUCUUCAUUGUCAUCACUUAGGAUCUGAACUCUGUCCUUGGCCUUCCAGGCCUGGACUCUUGAUAUUUAGAGCUAAGCUUUGGCAUUUCAAAUAAAAAAUAAAAAAAGAAA
rnacentral:sRNA from 1 species